rnacentral:rRNA from 1 species
CUACGGGACGCAGCAGUGGGGAAUAUUGGACAAUGGGGGAAACCCUGAUCCAGCAAUGCCGCGUGUGUGAAGAAGGCCUGCGGGUUGUAAAGCACUUUCGGUUGGGAGGACUGCUUCUAGCACUAAUAUUGUUGGAAGUUGACGUUACCUUCAGAAGAAGCACCGGCUAGCUCCGUGCCAGCAGUCGCGGUAAUACGGAGGGUGCAAGCGUUAAUCGGAAUUACUGGGCGUAAAGCGCGCGUAGGCGGCUAGAUCAGUCGGGUGUGAAAGCCCCGGGCUUAACCUGGGAACUGCAUCCGAUACUGUCUAGCUUGAGUACAGGAGAGGAGGGUGGAAUUCCACAUGUAGCGGUGAAAUGCGUAGAUAUGUGGAGGAACACCAAUGGCGAAGGCAGCUCUCUGGCCUGAUACUGACGCUGAGGUGCGAAAGCGUGGGGAGCAAACAGGAUUAGAUACCCCCGUAGUC